GCAAAAUUCGACUUAGAAGUUUCAGCGUGAUGGCUGAAGUUAUAGAAUUAAUGCCUGGUUCGACGGAUACAGACUGGAUUACCAAAUCGGAAUCGGAAUCUGAAGAUGAGAGUCGUCGGAAAACAAAGA